CAGUCGCCACGGUAAUACAGAGGGUGCGAGCGUUAAUCGGAUUUACUGGGCGUAAAGCGUGCGUAGGCGGCUUUUUAAGUCGGAUGUGAAAUCCCUGAGCUUAACUUAGGAAUUGCAUUCGAUACUGGGAAGCUAGAGUAUGGGAGAGGAUGGUAGAAUUCCAGGUGUAGCGGUGAAAUGCGUAGAGAUCUGGAGGAAUACCGAUGGCGAAGGCAGCCAUCUGGCCUAAUACUGACGCUGAGGUACGAAAGCAUGGGGAGCAAACAGGAUUAGUACCCCAGUAGUCCCUGUCUCUUAUACA
rnacentral:rRNA from 1 species